rnacentral:rRNA from 1 species
CGGAGUGCGGCAGCUACCAUGCAGUCGAACGUGAUCCGCCCUUCGGGGUGGUGAAAGUGGCGCACGGGUGAGUAACGCGUGGAUAAUCUGCCCGAGGAUUUGGGAUAACAUCUCGAAAGGGGUGCUAAUACCGAAUAAGCCCACGGGGUCUACGGAUCUUGCGGGAAAAGGGGGGGACCUUCGGGCCUCCUGUCCUUGGAUGAGUCUGCGUACCAUUAGCUAGUUGGUGGGGUAAUGGCCUACCAAGGCGACGAUGGUUAGCUGGUCUGAGAGGAUGAUCAGCCACACUGGAACUGAGACACGGUCCAGACUCCUACGGGAGGCAGCAGUGGGGAAUUUUGCGCAAUGGGGGAAACCCUGACGCAGCAACGCCGCGUGGGUGAUGAAGGCCUUCGGGUCGUAAAGCUCUGUCUGGAGGGAAGAAAUGAUUGGGAGCUAAUACCUCUUGAUCUUGACGGUACCUCUGAAGGAAGCACCGGCUAACUCCGUGCCAGCAGCCGCGGUAAUACGGAGGGUGCAAGCGUUGUUCGGAAUUAUUGGGCGUAAAGCGCGUGUAGGCGGUCUUUUAAGUCUGAUGUGAAAGCCCCGGGCUCAACCUGGGAAGUGCAUUGGAAACUGGGAGGCUUGAGUACGGGAGAGGAGAGUGGAAUUCCUAGUGUAGGAGUGAAAUCCGUAGAUAUUAGGAGGAACACCGGUGGCGAAGGCGGCUCUCUGGACCGAUACUGACGCUGAGACGCGAAAGCGUGGGUAGCAAACAGGAUUAGAUACCCUGGUAGUCCACGCCGUAAACGAUGAGUACUAGGUGUUGCGGGUAUUGACC